rnacentral:rRNA from 1 species
UACGGGGGGAGCAAGCGUUGUUCGGAUUUACUGGGCGUAAAGGGCGCGUAGGCGGCCACCGCAAGUCAGUUGUGAAAGCUCUGGGCUUAACCCAGAAAGGUCAACUGAUACUGCGGGGCUAGAGUGCAGAAGGGGCAACUGGAAUUCUCGGUGUAGCGGUGAAAUGCGUAGAUACCGAGAGGAACACCUGCGGCGAAGGCGGGUUGCUGGGCUGACACUGACGCUGAAGUGCGAAAGCUAGGGGAGCGAACGGG